AAAAAAAAAAAAAAAAAAAGGUUAAAGUGGGGAAGCCGAGACUGGUGUAUUGAAGAAGGCUGAAACGAGGGUUUUCGGCGUAAAUUUAGUGCAAAAUGACUAAUAUAAUGAGCACAGAGCAUGAUAAAUAUGCUACGAUCAAUUUCGAAGAGACAGAAUUGCGUCUGGGGUUACCUUGUUCUGCAGGCAAUGCACAUGAAGGUGAGAUUGCCAAGAGUAAUGGAAAGAGAGGGUUCUCGGAGACUCUAGUGGAUUUGAAGCUUAAUCUUUCCACCAAAGAAUCUGCAAGGAAGGAUAUUGGAGAGGAGAAGAUGAAGGAGAAAGCUGCUGUACUUCCUUCUUCUACUGAUCCAGCAAAACCUCCUGCCAAGUAUGUAUUUUUCUCUAAGGCUUUUGCUUUCCUUAAUUUUAUCUUGCUGCUGUUGUUUCUUUUUCUCUGUUAAACCAGCCAUAUCAAUCUCAUAAUCCUUUAGAAAAAUUCUAGUUAAAAAGUAUGUGUGUGUGUGUGUGUGAUCUUAAAUCUUUUAAAUUUCUGUAUUUAUUGUGUCUGAGAUAGGCGUAGAAAUGGAAGUCUUCAAUUAAAACAGUUCAUAUGAUUAGCAAUGAUAUUAUGAACCAGCUACAGAAGAUUUCAUUGAAAUUCAGAAGUUCAACUGUCAUAAUAGACUUUAAUUAUUUCCUACUAUUUUUAUAUUGCACAUAAUUAAAUUUUCUUCUUUUCUUCUUUGUAAAGAUGAUAAUCAUUAACAAUAUUGGUGGAGGAAUUUAAGAGAGAUGCAGGGCAUCAUAAUUUCCUUGAAAUGUGGAUUUUUCAUGGCUUUGGUUUGGUUGUCGGGAGCAGAGAAAAAGAACAAAACAUAAGGAAUCUUUACUUUUCUGGACAGCCAAACAACUCAGGAUAAGAGGAAAAAGGAAUAGAUAGAAGUGUACUACAGCUAAGCAACCUAACAGACAAUAAAUAAAAUAAUUCAGUCAUACGAAUUCACCAAAUAAGAAAAAUUCAGCUCAGUUUGAUUUCGUUGACCUAUAUAUAUAUAUAUUUUCACCUGCAAAAUAAAAUAAAAAUAUUGAAGAUGCCAAGGGUUAAAGGUUAAAAUCUUUUACCAAAAUCGUUUGAAAAAAUGAAUCUAAUGCUGUGCGUAAAGCUAUGAGAUUUAAGAUUGUUAAUAGUGAAAAUGAUUUCAGGGCACAAGUUGUGGGUUGGCCAC
rnacentral:misc_RNA from 1 species